rnacentral:rRNA from 1 species
UGGGUUAGUGGCGGACGGGUGAGUAACGCGUGGGUAACCUGCCUUACACAGGGGGAUAACACUUAGAAAUAGGUGCUAAAACCGCAUAAGCGCACAGCUUCGCAUGAAGCGGUGUGAAAAACUCCGGUGGUGUAAGAUGGACCCGCGUCUGAUUAGCUUGUUGGCGGGGUAACGGCCCACCAAGGCGACGAUCAGUAGCCGGCCUGAGAGGGCGGACGGCCACAUCGGGACUGAGACACGGCCCAGACUCCUACGGGAGGCAGCAG